rnacentral:rRNA from 1 species
UACGAAGGGGGCUAGCGUUGUUCGGAAUUACUGGGCGUAAAGCGCACGUAGGCGGAUAUUUAAGUCGGGGUGAAAUCCCGGGCUCAACCCCGGAACUGCCUUCGAUACUGGGUAUCUUGAGUUCGGAAGAGGUGAGUGGAAUUGCGAGUGUAGAGGUGAAAUUCGUAGAUAUUCGCAGGAACACCAGUGGCGAAGGCGGCUCACUGGUCCGAUACUGACGCUGAGGUGCGAAAGCGUGGGGAGCAAACAGG